rnacentral:rRNA from 1 species
AGAUCGAACUGAAGAGUUUGAUCCUGGCUCAGAUUGAACGCUGGCGGCAUGCCUUACACAUGCAAGUCGAACGGCAGCACGGGAGCAAUCCUGGUGGCGAGUGGCGAACGGGUGAGUAACGCAUCGGAACGUGCCCAUUAGUGGGGGAUAGCCCGGCGAAAGCCGGAUUAAUACCGCAUACGACCUACGGGUGAAAGCGGGGGAUCGCAAGACCUCGCGCUAUUGGAGCGGCCGAUGUCAGAUUAGCUUGUUGGUGGGGUAAAAGCCUACCAAGGCGACGAUCUGUAGCUGGUCUGAGAGGACGACCAGCCACACUGGGACUGAGACACGGCCCAGACUCCUACGGGAGGCAGCAGUGGGGAAUUUUGGACAAUGGGCGCAAGCCUGAUCCAGC